UACGAAGGGGGCUAGCGUUGUUCGGAAUUACUGGGCGUAAAGCGCACGUAGGCGGAUAUUUAAGUCAGGGGUGAAAUCCCAGAGCUCAACUCUGGAACUGCCUUUGAUACUGGGUAUCUUGAGUAUGGAAGAGGUAAGUGGAAUUGCGAGUGUAGAGGUGAAAUUCGUAGAUAUUCGCAGGAACACCAGUGGCGAAGGCGGCUUACUGGUCCAUAACUGACGCUGAGGUGCGACAGCGUGGGGACGCAAACAGG
rnacentral:rRNA from 1 species